AAGACUAUAGACCUGCGGAGUACCUGCGGAAGGAUCAUUAUUGAAUUAUGUUUCUAAAUGGGUUGUAGCUGGCUCGUCAGAGCAUGUGCACGCCUGUUUGGGCUUCAUUUUCAUCCACCUGUGCACCUAUUGUAGUCUUUGGUUGGGUAUCAAGGAAGUGGUCAGCCUAUCAGCACUUGCUGGAUGUGAGGACUUGCAGUGUGAAAGCUUUGCUGUCCUUUACUUGAUCAUGGAGUUGUU
rnacentral:misc_RNA from 1 species